CCGAGGCGGGGCUGGCUCGGCCUUGGGGUAACAGGCAGAAGGGAAGGGGUCAGAAUGUGGGCCUGCUCUGGCCACUUCUGCCACUUGUGUAGAAGAGGAAGCAGACAGAAAACAAGGUGGCUGGGCCGCCUCCCUUUCAGCAGCAGCCUCCGGCAGUUUUGCAAGGUACAUGUCAGUUUGGACUCACAUCUCCAGUACGUAACAGUCCUAUGUGGCUAGAAGCUAUCCUAUUGGACAGCAGACCUAGAAUAUUCUCCCAUCUACUCACCUCUUCCUCAGACUUCGACAGCAGCAGUUCGAGUGUAACACCUUAUGGAAAUCUUUUGCAAGCCACUCCCCCAGACUAGACCUGGUUUUCACUCAAUAUUCUUUCAUAACUCCUUGUACGUCUUUCUCAAAGUGCAUAUUGUGUGGCUGUUUGAUAAACACGUUUUCCCCGCCUGACGCUAAAUCCUAGCUGGUAGAGACUCCACCUGCUCUGUUCCCGUCGACGUUCCAGGGCUUGAUACGGUGUUUGGCCCAUGGCAAUAAACCUCUCUGAAUAAAUGCA